UGGAUUGUCUACCAAGAGGUUAUUUAUUCUGUCCUCAACAGCGUCCGCAUCUCCCCGGGAACAGUGCCUUGUCAAGCACCUCCACCAACAGCCACUCCACACUCCAUCGGGCAGUUUUUCUCAGGGAUUCUCUAACUUUGCUGUUUCUUAACACCUCUAGCAGCAGAUCUGUAUAUUACUGCAGAAAUAUCCUGCUGGGAAAAGGCUGCGAAAGUUCUGGCCACCAUGUAAAUCCCACACUGAAGACUCACUUGGGAAGAAGAAAAGAUACAAAAUGUUGUGCUGGCUCUCUAAGUAAAGAGGGUGCAUACUUGGAAGGACCUCAGCUUAAACUCCCGAAGAGGAGCAUUUGCCUAUUUUAACAGGAAAGUGCAAAGGAAUGGAGAUCAAUUUAAGCUCUACUGCGCAAGGAGGGGAGAAAUCUGGUGACGGUCCUACAAAUGUCAUUGACAAGGUUGAAAAAGAAAAGGCUAAAGGCUCUGCUGGAGUGACUCCAUUGACUCCCAUGGCUUUCGUGGGCUUCAAUUUGCAAAACAGACAGAAGAAGAGAAAACCCUUUCUCCACCUCUCUCCCCUUCAAUUCUUGAAAGUGACAUCUGUGCAGUGCUGCAGGAAAGAUUACACAUCUUAGUCUUAUUUUUUUUACCCUGCCACUCCCAAUUUACUCAUGCCCACUAUCAUAAUAUUAAUUUUUAGCAAGGAGGAGGAAGGAGUGCUCCCCUGGGCCAGCGGGGUUCUUCUGGCACGGAGCAGCCACGCCGGGGGAGGGGGAGGGCAGCGGGGUGGAGGUCGCUGCUGCUCCAACGGGACCAGAUCUGUCUUUCUCACCAAGGACUGAGGGCAUCUGUCCUGGGAGUCUGUCCAGAGCAGCCCCUGCUCGUGCCUCAGCAGCCGAAGGUGGCACCGCUCUGUCUUGCCACCACUUCUCCUUCCCACCCCCCGACUCUUUGCCUCACCUCCCCCGGACCCACUUCUCGAAAAAUCCAUCCAUUUAUUUCCAAUUACAAACCACACCACAUAACACAAACAUAAUUGCUUAAAAGUUGUUCCACAUUUGAUUCACAUGCAUUAUGCAUCCUGUAAAUUAUGUACGACCUCCUUUUUUUUUUUUUUUUUUUUUUUUUUGAGGAGUAUUAUUGUAGUUCCCUCUCUUGAUAUAAGGAUAGUUUUUACAGUUAGAAUCAAAACCUAAUUCAUUUACAAUACCUGUCUCCUGAGGAUCACAACAUAAUGACAUUGGAACAGUAAAAAGACUGCGCAGGGUUUUCACUUCAAUCACAGCUGUUCUAUAAAGAAAAGAAACUUACAGAAACCACCAAGAGAGAUGGUGAUUUAUAUCCAGUAGGAUACAAUAUAGCUGAAGAUGACUUUCUUGCUUAAACAAGGAGGGAAAAAAUGAACUCAUAUGUAUGAUGUAAAUAGACUUAACCAUGGGUGGCUGUGGUUUACUAUAAAUAUUCAAUUCAUUAUGGCUGCAGAGACGUACAGCUCCUACUGCGUGCUGGUGUUCUCGCCUGUAUCUGUCACUUGCUCGUGUUUGUCACAAGCCAGAACCCUCUUUAUGGUGACCCCCCCCCUCUUUUUUUCUUUUUUUUUUCCACUUGUCCAGGAAUCAACACAUUUGGGAUUUUUUUUAAAACAAGCUUUGGACCUCUUAACGGUAAAGAUCUCAUUGAAGGAGGUUUUUCAGCAAUGGAAAAAAACCAUGGGCCUGCGAGUUUGGAUCCCGUGAUGCAUCGCUCCUUGAAGUUACAUCUGCUCUUCUCUUUCAUCUCUCCUCUUGUUAACUGGGAGCUGUCACAUUAGGAGUUUUGGUGGAAGUGGCAUAAAGGAAGGAAAGAGAGACUGAUACACUCUGUCAUGACAAAACAGGCAGGCUAAGAGUGCCUUUGCAGUCACCUAUCAUCCACAGACUACGUGCUGCUGGCCCAAAGCACCAGGCCCUCUGGAAGGAUUCUGUAUAUGAAAUGCUGAACUGGAGCAAAAUCAAGACUGAAGUCCCCUGUGUGGUAAAACAAGUGAAGAAAAGUGCGAGGCAGUGAAGAAAGAAACCAUCUUAUUGAAGAAGGGCACUGGGAUUUUUGGAAAAUAUGGUGUGGUCUAGCUCCAUGGCUGGGACCCCUGUGUGCUGCUGCAGUUUAAAGAAGAGCUGAUGGUAAGAGAUUAUGAAAAGGCAGCUCCAUGGCUUUGUCUCUGUUCACCCAUCUCACAUUUGAUUUGUCUCUGCUUGACAUCAGGCUGGGAGCAAGAAGCUCUGAGCAUAACAGAGUAUGUGGCAACAAGACCAAGAGCUCCACGUGUCAAUCCAGAACCAGACACUGUCUCACUGGGUUCCUCCAUGAAACAACUGAGACAGGUGUGUGGAUGCCAGAUUUGUCUUUCAGGUCUACCUACUGCACCCACCAAGGUAAGGAGUAAAAGGCAGGACUAUCUGCAGGAGAACACUGCAGUAGCAAUGAACUUUGAAGUAGAAAAGAAUAUAUGGAAAAGUCAGUUAUUGCUCCAGAUGAAAGUGAAGGACAUUAUAAAAACACUGCCGCUAGAGUUUACUCAUAAGUUUGGGGGUGGUUUUUUUUUGUUGGGGUAUGUGUGUUACGGAUUCUUUUCCACAUACUUUAAAGAAACUCUGCACAGGCACUGCUGUGCGAAGAGAUGGCAGAGUCCGUGUGCUGGUUUGCUCAGAAAGGUUGGGCUAAAGGUGCAUUCCUGAACUUUUGUUGAACUUCAGUUUGAUACGGAUUGAAAUCUUACAUCACUGUUGAGACCUGAUGGACCAUAUGAGUGGAAGAACACACCUCACUUCAGCCUGGGAGAGUUUUGAGAGGUGGGAGGAGAAAGGAAGCUUCUAUUGGGAAAGCAUCUCCUCUAUUUAUGCUUUUCCCAGGGAAAUCCAGCCUAUCCCAGUUCCUAGUCUGGGCCUCCUCUAAGCCUGUUCACUUGGGUCCUUAGACCUGCCCUUCUCCUCCCCUGUAUUGGUACCAGGGAGACACUGGCAGAUCUGCAGUGUGUCACACCCAGCCUGAUCCCCCAGCAGUUUAUACCCCUUCACAAAACCUUCCUGAUGCCAAUUCGUCGUGUAGAAAGAAACUUCAUGGAGUUCAUUGAAGCUGAGCCGUUUUGGACAUGAGAGGUGCAGAAUCUGCCCAUUAAACUUCUUAUGAAACAAGAAACAGACCAAAAAUUUAGGUGUUGCUACUUUUAGUUUUGAAAAAAAAAAAAAAAAAAUUCUUUUUAACUUUUUGCUAUGGAGAGGAGCAGGAAAACUUCUGAAUAACUAAUUUAUCCACUGUAAAUUUCUCUAAAAGGUCAUUACAGACUGUAAAGCCUAAUGGCUUAAAGUUCCAGCCUUAUAUCACAAUGGCAAAGAACUCAUUCUCUAGAGAUUUUAUUUUUGAAGCUUUGCCAUUUUCUUCUAUCAAAGGAAAUGCUGUAUUUUUAAUACACAAUUUUCUUUUUUAAAGAAUAGCCUACAUUUAUGAAAAUAUUUAACAUUCAUUUCACACAAAACAUAGUAACAGAAAUGAGUGAUUUAUUUUCACAAUGCAUAGGCAGAGAAGUAGAGCAAGCCAGAGUUUAGAAAUAAUUGAGGUCUGUAGAUCUCAGGUAUGUAUUUAAGUAGUCUUUUGAACUGCCACCCGUGUUCUGUGUGAACAUAACUUUUCAGAGCACUUGUGAUUUUCCUCCUUUACAGGGCUGCUGAAUUGUGGUAUGAGGUCAGGCCCCUGGUCACUCUCUUCUGACACCAGCAAGGUCUCUUUCAUGCCCAGUGACUCCACCUCUCUCAGCUCAAGUGUGAACAUCACUUCUGAAGAACGAUACCAAAGUCAGUUUCUGUU